GCGGGAAUAGCUCAGUUGGUAGGUCACGACCUUGCCAAGGUCGGAGUCGCAAGUUCGAGUCUCGUUUCCCGCUCCA
rnacentral:tRNA from 1 species